rnacentral:rRNA from 1 species
UAGUAACGGCGAGUGAAGCGGGAUGAGCUCAAGCUUAAAAUCUCCGUGCAAAUUUUGCAUGGCGAAUUGUAGUCUAUAGAGGCGUGAUUAGCAUAGGCACUUGGGGCAAGUUCCUUGGAAGAGGACAGCAUCGAGGGUGAUACUCCCGUUUAUCUCCGAGUUGCUUAUGCGUACAAUCCGUUUUCUUUGAGUCGCGUUGUUUGAGAAUGCAGCGCAAAGUAGGUGGUAAAUUCCAUCUAAAGCUAAAUAUUGGUGCGAGACCGAUAGCAAACAAGUACCGUGAGGGAAAGAUGAAAAGAACUUUGAAAAGAGAGUUAAAGAGUACCUGAAACUGCUGAAAGGGAACCAAAUCGUUUCCAGUGUCUAUAAUCCGUGGUAUAUUUCAUUGGCGAAUGUGUGCGUGCGUGUACUAUGGCAGCGGCUUUUUGCUGCGCCUUGUGUAUGUGUGCACUUUCUCGCUGAUGCCCUGUACCGUGGUGGGACGUCAAUGUCGGUUCGUAAAUUGCGGGAAAUGACUGCCGAGGAGGUAGGGCGAACGCUUGCGUUUGUCUGUUAUAUCUUGGCGGACGUAGUAGUCGCGGUUGGGACUGAGGUGCCUACAAUGUGCUUAUGAGUAGAAUUGAUUCUCCGUGUGCGCCGUGUGCGGAUAGCUUGCUAUGCGUGUGUGGCUGCGUGUGGAU